AGGGCGAGCAGUUGGCUGACGCAGACCCGAAACCAAGUGACCUACCCAUGACCAGGUUGAAGGCGCGGUAAAACGCGCUGGAGGACCGAACCCACGUAAGUUGAAAAUUGCGGGGAUGAGUUGUGGGUAGCGGUGAAAUUCCAAACGAACUUGGAGAUAGCUGGUUCUCUCCGAAAUAGCUUUAGGGCUAGCCUCGCAAAGAGGAUGCUGGAGGUAGAGCUCUGUUUGGACUAGGGGCCCGUCAAGGGUUACUGAAUUCAGAUAAACUGCGAAUUCCAGACAUUUAUGUGCGGGAGUCAGACUGCGAGUGAUAAGAUCCGUAGUCGAAAGGGAAACAGCCCAGAUCACCAGUUAAGGUCCCAAAAUUCAUGCUAAGUGGAAAAGGAUGUGGAGUUGCGCAGACAACUAGGACGUUGGCUCAGAAGCAGCCAUCAUUCAAAGAGUGCGUAAUAGCUCACUAGUCGAGUGACGCCGCGCCGAAAAUUUACCGGGGCUAAGCAUGAUACCGAAACUGUGGAUGUGC
rnacentral:rRNA from 1 species